rnacentral:snRNA from 1 species
AUCUGUCACCCCAUUGAUGGCCAGGGUUGAUUCCGCUGAUCUAGCCGGCUAGGCGGGUGUCCCCUCCCACCCUCACCGUCCCGUGUGCGUCCCUGCCAAAGCCAUAUGCGGCAGGUGGGCGAGGACCACCUCCCCUGAUAGAGGAGAGGAUCGUUCUUCGGCCACGGGGAGACGCGUGACUGCGCUCCCCUGCUAGACCCUCCAGAUAAGCGCUCAAGGUCCGUUUGUAGGAGAAUGUGAGGCAGUCAAGUUUCCAAGGCUCCAGGCACAUCCAAAUGAGGUGCUGCAUGUGGAAGUCUCUUU